UAAUUUUGCAACCAACACAGAGAGCUCAUUCUCGGCAUUUGCAACAACUUCUCCAGUCUAGGCUUGUGUUCAGAAAUCAUUCCAAUUCCAAGCAUAUUACUAGUGCCGCGCCCUUUCUGUAAAUUUAACCAAAACCCUUCUUCUUCAGCAAAAAUUACCAGCUAAAUAAUGCAGAAAAAUAAUAUUAGUGAAAAACAGAGUAAAGAGUUGGAGCAAAGAAAAACAUGCCAUCACAUCCUCUG
rnacentral:lncRNA from 1 species